UACGUAGGGGGCAAGCGUUGUCCGGAAUCAUUGGGCGUAAAGAGCGUGUAGGCGGCCCGAUAAGUCCGCUGUGAAAGUCCAGGGCUCAACCCUGGGAUGCCGGUGGAUACUGUCGGGCUCGAGUCCGGAAGAGGAGUGUGGAAUUCCUGGUGUAGCGGUGAAAUGCGCAGAUAUCAGGAAGAACACCCGUGGCGAAGGCGGCUCUCUGGGACGGUACUGACGCUGAGACGCGAAAGCGUGGGGAGCGAACAGG
rnacentral:rRNA from 1 species